ACCAAUAUAUUAGGCAUUUUUUUUAUGUCGGGGGGUGUCCAGACAUGGAGGACACCCCCCCCAAAAUACGCCACUGGUGACAUUUUUCAAAUCAUCAACGAUUGUUUUACUCUUUUUACAAAUUAUGUUUUUCGAGACAUUCGCCAUUUUCACAGCGACUAGAUAAUUUGUCAAGACUGCUCUUUUUCCCUGUUCACUCUCACAUAUAUAUCUAACUGAAAAAUUCAAUAAAAUAAAAAUUUUUUGUUGCUUAAAGUGGUUAUCAUUAAAAGUUUUAGUGCAUAUACGAGAACAGUAUUUGAUUUUUGUAUGACUAGAGAAAUGGACUCAAAUUUUAGUUUUUGUGGCAACACUAAACAAGCUUUUAAUAAGUUUCACAUUUUUAAAAUACUUCGUGAUGCUUUGUUUGGCCAAAUCAUAAUACCUGAACACGAAAGAACAUUUAACAAAAUAAUAGAUAAUAUUUUUAAGCAUUCUGGCAAUAAUAAAGCAUCACACUAAUAAAAUCGUAUUGUUUUUUUGUUAUUCAAUUACAUUUUAUUUUUUUGUAAAUGAUUUUUUAAAUUUAUUUACUUAAAUUGUUUCACAGUUUUUUUAUUAAUAAGUUAAAACAAAAUAUAGCAUUUUAGGAAUCAAAAUAAAAACAGUAAAAAAAAACAUGGCAAUCUUAUGCCAUCUUAUUGGAUGCUACUUAUGUGUAUUACUCCUUCUUUGUACAUAUGGCAAUUAUUUUCUUUUAUUCCAUUUUAUGAAAAUUAAAUUAAAAUUACUAAUUGUUUUUGUAACCACAGUAAUAUUUUUUAAUAU